CUGGGGGCCGGCUUUAAGGUUGACGGGAAAACCUUGUUUCCCUGUCUGUACCUCGGGUGAAACUGUUGGGACGUCCCCGGCUUUGGAGCUCGAAUUAAACUCUGGUGCUAUUUCCAAUUUACAGCAUGAAUAUUAUACCUGAGAGCAAAUGGAUUGGAAAUUCCAGUAAUCUGCAGAGACGUGUACAGAAAGAGGGGUACAAAAAAAACGGUUGUACCUCCCAGCCUACCAACUCCGGCUUCAGUCCGGGACUGCAGAGAUCCCAAGAUGCAAACCUCAGGAAUCAUCAGUGUUACUGACUACUGACUAACCACAGGGAUUGUUUUGUCCUGUUUUUUUCUG